CCUGAAAGAUGAUCAGGUUGAUAGGUCUGAGGUGGAAGCGUGGUGACACGUGGAGCUGACAGAUACUAAUAGAUCGAGGACUUAACCACAUUU
rnacentral:rRNA from 1 species